CAGUCGAGCGAAGCCUUCGGGUUUAGCGGCGGACGGGUGAGUAACGCGUGGGAAUAUGCCCUUUGGUACGGAACAGUCCCGGGAAACUGGGUUUAAUACCGUAUGUGGUCCUUCGUAGUGGAUACGGGGGACGAAAGAUUUAUCGCCAAAGGAUUAGCCCGCGUUGGAUUAGGUAGUUGGUGGGGUAACGGCCUACCAAGCCGACGAUCCAUAGCUGGUUUGAGAGGAUGAUCAGCCACACUGGGACUGAGACACGGCCCAGACUCCUACGGGAGGCAGCAGUGGGGAAUCUUAGACAAUGGGGGCAACCCUGAUCUAGCCAUGCCGCGUGAGUGAUGAAGGCCUUAGGGUUGUAAAGCUCUUUCAGCUGGGAAGAUAAUGACGGUACCAGCAGAAGAAGCCCCGGCUAACUCCGUGCCAGCAGCCGCGGUAAUACGGAGGGGGCUAGCGUUGUUCGGAAUUACUGGGCGUAAAGCGCAUGUAGGCGGACCAGAAAGUUGGGGGUGAAAUCCCGGGGCUCAACCCCGGAACGGCCUUCAAAACUAUUGGUCUGGAGUUCGAGAGAGGUGAGUGGAAUUCCGAGUGU
rnacentral:rRNA from 1 species